GACGGGUGAGUAAUGUCUGGGAAACUGCCCGAUGGAGGGGGAUAACUACUGGAAACGGUAGCUAAUACCGCAUAACGUCGCAAGACCAAAGAGGGGGACCUUCGGGCCUCUUGCCAUCGGAUGUGCCCAGAUGGGAUUAGCUAGUAGGUGGGGUAACGGCUCACCUAGGCGACGAUCCCUAGCUGGUCUGAGAGGAUGACCAGCCACACUGGAACUGAGACACGGUCCAG
rnacentral:rRNA from 1 species